rnacentral:rRNA from 1 species
UACGUAGGGGGCUAGCGUUGUCCGGAAUCAUUGGGCGUAAAGCGCGUGUAGGCGGUUAGGUAGGUCCGUUGUGAAAACUCGAGGCUCAACCUCGAGACGCCGAUGGAAACCAUCUGACUAGAGUCCGGAAGAGGAGAGUGGAAUUCCUGGUGUAGCGGUGAAAUGCGCAGAUAUCAGGAAGAACACCCGUGGCUAAGGCGGCUCUCUAGUACGUGACUGACGCUGAGACGCGAAAGCGUGGGGAGCGAACAGG